AUGUGUUAGCUGAGUCCCCUGAAGGCAGCAGAUGGUUGGUUGGUGAGUUCUUAUCCAUUCUGUGGUUCAGUAUCUUUUAAGUGGAGCAUUUACAUCAUUUACAUUCAAUGUUAGUAUUGAAAUGUGAGGUACCAUUGCAUUCAUUGUGCUCUUUGUUGCCUGUAUACUUUGUUUUUGUUUUUUGUUUUUGCUUUUUAGCUUGUAUUUUUGUUUUAUAGGUCCUGUGUGAUUUAUGCUUUAAAAAGGUUCUGUUUUGAUGUGUUUCCUCCAGGAUUUUUUUUCAAGAUUUAGAGCUCCUUUUAGCAGUUCUUGUAGUGGUGGCUUGGUAAUGGCGAAUUCUCUUAGCAUUUGUUUGUCUAAAAAAGACUAUCUUUCCUUCAUAUAUGAUGCUUAGUUUUUCUGGAUACAGAAUUCUUGGCUAAUAAUUGUUUUGUUUGAGGAGGCUGAAGAUAGGGCCCCAAUCCCUUCUAGCUUGUAGGGUUUCUGUUGAGAAAUCUGCUGUUAAUCUGAUAGGUUUUGCUUGCUAGGUUACCUAGUGCUUCUGUCUCACAGCUCUUAAGAUUCUUUCCUUCGUCUUAACUUUGGAUAAGCUGAUGACAAUGUGCCUAGGUGAAGAUCUUUUUGCGAUGAAUUUCCCAGGUGUUCUUUGUGCUUCUUGUAUUUACAUGUCUAUGUCUCUAGCAAGGCUGAGGAAGUUUUCCUCAAUUAUUCCCCAAAAUAUGUUUCCCAA
rnacentral:lncRNA from 1 species